rnacentral:rRNA from 1 species
UACGUAGGGUGCGAGCGUUGUCCGGAAUUAUUGGGCGUAAAGAGCUCGUAGGCGGUCUGUCACGUCGGCUGUGAAAACCCGGGGCUCAACCCCGGGCCUGCAGUCGAUACGGGCAGGCUAGAGUUCGGUAGGGGAGACUGGAAUUCCUGGUGUAGCGGUGAAAUGCGCAGAUAUCAGGAGAACACCCGGUGGCGAAGGCGGGCUCUCG